UCUCCGUACGGGAAGGAUGAGAAGCUUCGACUAAGGUUCGAUUCGAGCGCAGCGAGAAAGCGUUGCCGCAGGCAACGACCCGAAGGGCGAAGCGCGCAGCGCUGAGUAAUCCUUCCCCCACCACCA
rnacentral:sRNA from 1 species